rnacentral:rRNA from 1 species
GACGAACGCUGGCGGCGUGCCUAAUACAUGCAAGUCGAACGCAGUGGGGACGGGUGAGUAACACGUGGGUAACCUCCCAUCAGAGGGGAUAACACUUGGAAACAGGUGCUAAACCGAUACUGAUGGAUGGACCCGCGGUGCAUUAGCUAGUGGGUGAGGUAACGGCCCACCAAGGCCACGAUGCAUAGCCGAGCUGAGAGGGUUGUCAGCCACACUGGGACUGAGACACGGCCCAUACGCCUACGGGAGGCAGCAGUAGGGAAUCUUCGGCAAUGGACGAAAGGCUGACCGAGCAACGCCGCGGGAGUGAAGAAGGUGUUCGGGUCGUAAAACUCUGUUGUUAGAGAAGCGGUAUCUAACGAGGAAGCCACGGCUAACUACGUGCCAGCAGCCGCGGUAAUUC